AGAUGAAUGGAGUGAAGUAAAAAGUCCAAUACUUUCCUCUGAAAUCUAGCGGAUUAGAAGUAGAAAGUGGCAUGAAAAGUACAAGUACCUCAACAUUUGUAC